rfam:Zostera marina strain Finnish scaffold_120, whole genome shotgun sequence.
GGCCUAUUAGCUCAGUUGGUUAGAGCGUCGUGCUAAUAACGCGAAGGUCACUGGUUCGAGACCUGUAUAGGUCA